GGUGCGUGUACAUUUGUGUGUGAGUGCGUUUGAGCGUUUGAGUGGGAGAGAGAUAAAGAGAGCGAGAGUUUGUGUGUGUAUCUAUGCGUGCUAUAGCAUGAGUAGAGAUAUUCACGUCUUAUAAUUCAUAUAUAUUCAAUAGAAUUUAGUUUCUGUAUAGUUCAUUUAGUUUACACGUAGAAAUUGUAUGUUCGUGUUUUAAAUGAUGUUCCCAAAGAUAUUUGGUUUUUCCAGGAACUACAAAAACUUAUUGAUAUGUUUGGAAAAUAAAAUUGCACCGGAUUGUUACAACCUAUUUAAAGUGGUUCACUCGUGUCGCUAUAAUGGAAGUCCAGACAAGGUGACCUUUUACAUACCGGUUGUUCUUUCUGCAUGUGUGGUUUCAUUAAUGAAUAUAGAUACAUGGUUGCAAUGAUAAUGUGCAUGCGUUAUUAACUUAGUAUUUUUGAUGGUUCGGUCUUGAACGUUUGAAAUAUAUCAAU